AUUUGAAAACUUGCAAACUCUAUCACCACCCAGAAUGCAUCGACCUCACCAGAUUCAGGAAGCUAAGCAGGGUCUGCCUGGUUAUUACUCAGAUGGAAGCCCACCAGAGAACACCAGGAACCUUCAGGUA
rnacentral:rRNA from 1 species